rnacentral:tmRNA from 1 species
GGGGCUGCACUGGUUUCGACGUGGGUUCGGACGCGCAGCAGGGCAUGUCGAGGUUCUGUCACCUCGUUAAACCGCAGAAAAAAAACUAACUGCAAACGACGAACGUUUCGCACUCGCCGCUUAAUUGCCGGUGAGCUUUGCAACAGCAGGCC